CUUAACACAUGCAAGUUGAACGGAUAACAUGGAAGCUUGCUGAAGUGUCAUAUAGUAGCGGACGGGUGAGUAAUGCAUGAGAAGCUGCCAUUGGGAGGGGGACAACAGUUGGAAACGGCUGCUAAUACCCCGUAUGCCGGAAAGGUGAAAGGGAGCGAUCCGCCCGAUGAGGUGCUCAUGUCCUAUCAGCUGGUUGGUGGGGUAACGGCCUACCAAGGCGACGACGGGUAGCCGGCCUGAGAGGGUGAACGGCCACACUGGAACUGAGAUACGGUCCAGACUCCUACGGGAGGCAGCAGUGGGGAAUAUUGGGGCCAAUGGGGGCAACCCUGACCCAGCGACGCCGCGUGGGGGAAGACGGCCUUCGGGUUGUAAACCUCUUUUGUACGGGAAGAAGGAAGUGACGGUACUGUACGAAUAAGUCCCGGCUAACUACGUGCCAGCCGCAGC
rnacentral:rRNA from 1 species